rnacentral:rRNA from 1 species
GACGAACGCUGGCGGCGUGCUUAACACAUGCAAGUCGAACGAAGAGCGAUGGAAGCUUGCUUCUAUCAAUCUUAGUGGCGAACGGGUGAGUAACGCGUAAUCAACCUGCCCUUCAGAGGAGGACAACAGUUGGAAACGACUGCUAAUACCGCAUACGAUCUGACCUCGGCAUCGAGGAUAGAUGAAAGGUGGCCUCUACAUGUAAGCUAUCACUGAAGGAGGGGAUUGCGUCUGAUUAGCUAGUUGGAGGGGUAACGGCCCACCAAGGCGAUGAUCAGUAGCCGGUCUGAGAGGAUGAACGGCCACAUUGGGACUGAGACACGGCCCAGACUCCUACGGGAGGCAGCAGUGGGGAAUCUUCCGCAAUGGACGAAAGUCUGACGGAGCAACGCCGCGUGAGUGAUGACGGCCUUCGGGUUGUAAAGCUCUGUUAAUCGGGACGAAAGGCCUUUUUGCGAAUAGUGAGAAGGAUUGACGGUACCGGAAUAGAAAGCCACGGCUAACUACGUG